GGUCUAGUAACAAAUAGCCCAAAUGAAAAUCGGCAGACCAUUGUGGUGCCACCUGGUUUGGAGUUAAAAUGCAGUUUUGUUUUUCAUAUCUGGGAUAACAAUAUGAUCGAACGGAACACAUCCAGAUGUUUUAGGCUUGCUGUACUUAGGGUUUUUAGAUAAGUUGGGCCAUUUUUAAAUGGUCUCCUACCUGCUGUAUAAGCUUAAUGCCUGAAACAUAGUAGUCACUCAGGAAAUGGGCGUUGGAUGAAUGGGAGGAAUGGAUGGGCGAUCCCCUGUAUCUAGGAGAAGGAAGGGGAAGUGUUUCAAUGAACUGGAACUUCUUGGGGAAGAAAGAAAGAUGUCACAGAAAUGCAAAUGAUCAGGAAGGAACAUUCCACAUCAGAAAGGAGAAUCUACACACGCGAUGAAAAGGUCAACCUCAGGCUCCAGCUAACCUUGGGGAGCAAAGAUGUGGAGCCCGCCCGGCAUCUGGAGAGAUUCCUGCAGAGCACUUGCAGGCUUCAUGGCUGUGCAGUUUCUUCUAAAACACAUUUGGUCUAGAACUCUGGUUUAAAAGCCUCUUUUUGGGAGGAGGAAUUAAAGCACAAACUCUUAAAUGACUGUACAAAAUGUACAAGAGAUGACAGUGAAGCUGCCGUGGUUGGCGGAUGUGGCGCGCCCGGACAGAGUGGUCAGAAGCCUGGAUGUCCCCUUGUCCUGGCCUCGGGAUGCUGCCAUGGAACCCCAGUGCUCUGAUGGAACAUAACCUAAUUCCACAACAGUUUUAAACCAGUGUUUUCUCUAUCGAGCAUAAGCCUCAGCACCUGAUACCGCUCAGUGUGGAUCCAUGAGCAAAGCAUGAAUCACUAACGCAAUGUGUCUCAUUACAUAGCCUUGUGGCUCCCUAUCCUGGCCAACUCGGCCUUUGCCCUGGACUCCUGACUGGCUUUCUUCAGUGUCAAUUUCUGUUUAUGAAAAAUAAAGCUGUACCAAUA